AAGGAGCGGACGCCUCACUGCCCAGCCUCCGGGAUCCCGGAGAGUACAGGGAACGCAGCCCGGAGCUGGGAUGGGUACGGAGAACCCUCUGUUCCUCAGUAGGAGACACCCCCGCCCCAGGGCAAAGCUCCUCGCGGCAUCUCCCUCCUCGAGGUCCCCUCCCGUAUACCUGAAUCGCGAUGGCCGUCAUGCUGCUGGGAGGACUGCGAACCCAGCUGAUGGUCGAAGCAGCCUCCACUCCUCCGCCCAGGCCAAAGUGCCUGCAGCAGCUGGCUGACUAGUAGCCACCGCACGUCGGAUGAGAAAACUGAGGCAAACAGGAUUAAAUGAUUUCCGCAGGGUUACCUAGCUGGUAAAGUGCCUGAGGCCAGAUUCAAACUCAUGAAGAUGAAUCCUCCUGAUUCCAAGCCCAGUGUUCUAUCCACUACACCACCUCGAUGCCUCCUUAACAGAUUAUCUCUCCCCCUCAUUAGAAUGUAAACUCCUUGAGGGUGUCGACUGGACCAGAACCGGUCCAUGACAAGGGCAAGGACUCUCUUUUGCUAGCAUUUGUAUCCCCAACGAUCAGCACAGUGCAAUGAAUAAAUUCUGAUUCUCUGUU